rnacentral:rRNA from 1 species
UACGAAGGGUGCAAGCGUUACUCGGAAUUACUGGGCGUAAAGGGUGCGUAGGUGGUUGUUUAAGUCUGCUGUGAAAGCCCCGGGCUCAACCUGGGAAUGGCAAUGGAUACGUGGCAGGCUAGAGUGCGGUAGAGGGUAGUGGAAUUCCCGGUGUAGCGGUGAAAUGCGUAGAGAUCGGGAGGAACACCAGUGGCGAAGGCGGCUACCUGGACCAGCACUGACACUGAGGCACGAAAGCGUGGGGAGCAAACAGG